UGGGGAAUAUUGCACAAUGGGCGCAAGCCUGAUGCAGCCAUGCCGCGUGUGUGAAGAAGGCCUUCGGGUUGUAAAGCACUUUCAGCGGGGAGGAAGGCGGUGAGGUUAAUAACCUCACCGAUUGACGUUACCCGCAGAAGAAGCACCGGCUAACUCCGUGCCAGCAGCCGCGGUAAUACGGAGGGUGCAAGCGUUAAUCGGAAUUACUGGGCGUAAAGCGCACGCAGGCGGUUUGUUAAGUCAGAUGUGAAAUCCCCGGGCUCAACCUGGGAACUGCAUCUGAUACUGGCAAGCUUGAGUCUCGUAGAGGGGGGUAGAAUUCCAGGUGUAGCGGUGAAAUGCGUAGAGAUCUGGAGGAAUACCGGUGGCGAAGGCGGCCCCCUGGACAAAGACUGACGCUCAGGUGCAAAAGCGUGGGGAGCAAACAGG
rnacentral:rRNA from 1 species